rnacentral:rRNA from 1 species
GAUGAACGCUAGCUACAGGCUUAACACAUGCAAGUCGAGGGACCGGCGCACGGGUGAGUAACACGUAUCCAACCUGCCCUUUACUCGGGGAUAGCCUUUCGAAAGAAAGAUUAAUACCCGAUAUAAAGGAUGGGGAUGCGUUCCAUUAGGUUGUUGGUAAGGUAACGGCUCACCAAGCCUUCGAUGGAUAGGGGUUCUGAGAGGAAGGUCCGCCACAUUGGAGCUGAGACACCGUCCAAAUGACUACGGGAGGGAGCAGUGAGGAAUAUUGGUCAAUGGGCGAUAGCCUGAGGCAGCCAAGUAGCGUGAAGGAUGAAGACUUAUGAGUCGUAAACUUCUUUUAUGUAAGAAUAUGUAUUGUAUGAAUAAGGAUCGGCUAACUCCGUGCCAGCAGCCGCGGUAAUUC